rnacentral:rRNA from 1 species
CAGCCGCCGCGGUAAUACGUAGGUGGCAAGCGUUGUCCGGAAUUAUUGGGCGUAAAGGGCUCGCAGGCGGUUUCUUAAGUCUGAUGUGAAAGCCCCCGGCUCAACCGGGGAGGGUCAUUGGAAACCGGGAAACUUGAGUGCAGAAGAGGAGAGUGGAAUUCCACGUGUAGCGGUGAAAUGCGUAGAGAUGUGGAGGAACACCAGUGGCGAAGGCGACUCUCUGGUCUGUAACUGACGCUGAGGAGCGAAAGCGUGGGGAGCGAACAGGAUUAGAUACCCCAGUAGUCCCUGUCUCUUAUAU